UACGAAGGGGGCUAGCGUUGUUCGGAAUCACUGGGCGUAAAGCGCACGCAGGCGGAUCGUUAAGUCAGGGGUGAAAUCCCGAGGCUCAACCUCGGAACUGCCUUUGAUACUGGCGAUCUUUGAGUCCGGGAGAGGUGAGUGGAACUCCGAGUGUAGAGGUGAAAUUCGUAGAUAUUCGGAAGAACACCAGUGGCGAAGGCGGCUCACUGGCCCGGUACUGACGCUCAGGUGCGAAAAGCGUGGGGAGCAAACAGG
rnacentral:rRNA from 1 species